rnacentral:rRNA from 1 species
AUUGAACGCUGGCGGCAUGCCUUACACAUGCAAGUCGAACGGCAGCACGGGUGCUUGCACCUGGUGGCGAGUGGCGAACGGGUGAGUAAUAUAUCGGAACGUACCUUAUCGUGGGGGAUAACGCAGCGAAAGCUGUGCUAAUACCGCAUAAGCCCUAAGGGGGAAAGCAGGGGACCGUAAGGCCUUGCGCGAUUAGAGCGGCCGAUACCUGAUUAGCUAGUUGGUGAGGUAAAGGCUCACCAAGGCAACGAUCAGUAGCUGGUCUGAGAGGACGAUCAGCCACACUGGGACUGAGACACGGCCCAGACUCCUACGGGAGGCUG